rnacentral:rRNA from 1 species
UACGAAGGGGGCUAGCGUUGCUCGGAAUCACUGGGCGUAAAGGGCGCGUAGGCGGCCAUUCAAGUCAGAGGUGAAAUCCCAAGGCUCAACCUUGGAAUUGCCUUUGAUACUGUUUGGCUUGAGACCGGAAGAGGUUAGUGGAACUGCGAGUGUAGAGGUGAAAUUCGUAGAUAUUCGCAAGAACACCAGUGGCGAAGGCGGCUAACUGGUCCGGUUCUGACGCUGAGGCGCGAAAGCGUGGGGAGCAAACAGG